UGUGCACAGUGGUUUAUAGUGUAUAUGUUUUAGCAUGAAGAAUGAUGGCAUUGGAUUUGUAAGUUAGAUGUUUAUUUUGGUGUGAUAUACAACGAAUUGCAUUCUUGCCAUCUAAUCUUGCAGGCUUACAUGUACUAGCAGGUAGUGUACAGCAUCAUGGAAUUAUUUUUCUUUUUCCAUCUAUUGAACUCCUUAGAGAAUCACAUUGUUUAGAGGAAAGCUCGAGUUGUUACAGCUGACAUUCUUGUAAUUGUAUUUUAUAGUUUAUCCAAGGCAAAUUGAAAUUCAUUGCAUCAAGUAAAAUGUUAAUUGGAAGCAUGAAGGCAAUGUAAGUGUCGACGUAGAUAAGUUAUGAUUCCUGAAAAUGCGUUUACUUUUCUGUUUACGAUCUGAUCUUGUGAUAUAUCUUGAUGUGUGUGUUAGCUGUGUUCGUGUGUGCGGAUGGGUUAAUUAUGUUUUUUAAUCGGUUGAUCGAGGUAGAGUGUAUUUGAUUUUAAUUGGACUCUGUGCCAGUGGCCUUGAACAGAAUCCACAUGUCCACGCAUGAUAUUACAGACGUACGUACGUGUUUUUAAAGUGGGGUAGGUUUAUGCUGCACGUCUGUAUAUUGGUAAGCCUUACAAUACGUUUUUACACGAUGAAAGCCAAAUAAGGUAAUCUAUAAUAUAUACGACUGUCAACAAUACAGAAAGGCUGCUCGGGUUCGUCUGUUGAGUGCUGCAAAAACUGUGUGUGACGGUGGUGUAAGAUGCCCAUGACAGUGGAGUUGUAAACUCGCCCAACCUAACCUAUUAGAAGUCCAUGUAAAUCAGACACGCUCAGACAAGUGACCCAGAAUGCCGGGAGGAAAAAGGAGUGACGUGCAGGAGCAAGUUCAUGCGGAAGGAAGGAGUGGAUUUGAUUCUACAUACGUGGUAUAUGCCUACUUUUCAGGAGAAUCCAUGUCUUCCAAGAUAACGUGAUGGGUCUGAAUAUGUGAAUUCCAUUUAUGUGCUGGCACCAUGAUCUGCAGGAGGGUGUUGCAGUGAAUACAUGGCAACAGCUGGGUUUAGACAAACCCUUUGAGAGUUUAAAUGGUGGAACCGCUGUUGACACUGGGAAAACACUGUGUUGCCCACUAAGGGAUAACAGUCCACAAUAUAGAGCACUGGAAAGAGGCAAGUAUGGAGGUAAACAGUUGAAUCUUCCUCAAGGAUGGUAAACCCGCCUUUCAUCCUCCUCCUUCACAGAAUGGGUGGCUAGUAGACAUUACUGCUGCCCAACAGGUGUGGAGGACAUUGAAAUAGGCGGGUUUUCAGUACCUUCACACCCAAAACCUGACUCAAGAUCCUCUGGAGAACACAUUUGGGGCUAUUCGUUUGUACUGUGGUUCGAACAAUAAUCCAACUAUGGGACAGUUUGUAGAUGCCCUGAAGACUAGCAUCAUCAUUGGCCUUGCUUUUAGAGGUCUGGAUGAAACUAGUUGUGAGGAUGAUGGUGCUGCUCUAACUACAGUCAUUCAGGGCGCCGGAUGCUGCUUCACGAAAUCCUUCCACAACUCAUGACAAGGAAACCCCUGCUGGUGUGCCUGAGAGUUUCCAUGUUGCUGAGCAAGUACAGAUGGACUUGAGUCCUGCAGUAUAUGCUAGUGACAGGGAAGUGUUCUCAUUAGUCUACGUCAGUAGUUCCAUUGCCAGAAAGGUGCUUCUUGGCAUCAACUGUGAUGCAGACAAGACAUGCUUAACAUAUGAAAUGCUGCUAUCAGCCAAUGUCUUCAUAUAUUUCAAGAAGUACACUGAUACAGAACAGUCUCUCACCUGUCCUUCUGAGAAGUGGUUUGGAAACUGUUGGUACUGCUAUAGCUCUGAUGGAGUCUAUGAUGUCAGAGGUGGCCCACUUGAAUUCAGUGGAGCAGCAUAUCAGAGCUGCCAUUGAGAGCACCAUUGACUUCGAGUGGAUUAGGUGUACUGGCUAUUUACUUCACUACCAAUGAAGAGUAGAUGGUAUUGUGAGAUGUCUCACAAGAAUAUACAUUCCUUGAUGAUGUAAGCGAAGAAACAGAUUAAUGCCUGAUGCAGCCAGUGGAGGGCCACAGAGAGGAAGACUGAGAUACUGACACAUCAGUAAGUCAUUAGGAAAGUAAUGGUUCUUCAUUCUUGCCUUGUAACGUCCUGCCCAUACCAUCCCUGGAAAUUGACAGAGAGCGGUUAUGGAAUUACUGGAAGAAUAUGUGUGCCAACUAGUCACAUGAGCAUCAUUAGAUGUUUCAUAAGUUGGAGAAAGUAACCCUGGUGACAAGUAGUUUUAUUACAGCAACAGAAAAUACUGUGCAUUCACAUGAUAACAUUUUCAUCCACAAUUGGCUUAUAUACAAAAAAAACUAUUCUCAACUUGAGCUCCAUCUCUUCCCUGCUUUGCGAAUAUUUCCUUUGUUGCAGUAUAUUAGAACUUCACUGGGUCAGAGCUCAUUCUGCCCCUUACCUUCAAGUAAUUGUAUUUCAAUUGAGAAUUCUAUGGGAAAUUGUUUUCUGACACACAUGGUUCUUCUUUAUGUGUAGGUAAGAAUGAAAUGGCAUUACUUUACAAUUGUCAUGGAAUGUUCAGGUUAUCUGCUUCAGCAGGUAACACUGAGAAGCAGGAUCAGUAUCAGGAUUCAAUGUGGGUAGGACGUUUUGUAUAAUUUACUUACCUAUUUUGUUUUUGGUAUAUUCUGUUUUAUUAUUAUGGGUGCAUUCCUUCUAAUAAUUUAUUUAACUAUUUUAAUAUUUUUGUUAUUAUUCUGUUUUAUCGUUAUUGUGGGUGUGUUCCUUCUUAUUUUUCUCCAUAUUACUCUGCCAAGUACUGAACUGGUGAACAUGAAUAUAAGAUUUCCAAUAAUCAUUGCAUUUCCUUAAGACAUGUUAUUAAUUUUGCCACAUAAUCCUGUCCAGUACUGUAAUGGAAGAUGAAUAUCAGAUAUACAGUAUUCUGGAAGUUAUUAUAAAAGGCUAAUUAAUUCCAUCCAGUGUAACUGAUGUCACUGAUGUCCAGUCACACUGGACAGAAUUAAUUAACCUUUUAUAAUAUUGUUAGUGUGACGGACCAGGAUGAAACAAAUCAAAAUUGUGUAAGAUAUGUUAUUAAAUUUGCAAUUUUAUCUUGUCCAGUACUGAAGUGGAAGAUGAAUAUCAGAUUUCCAGUAUCCCGUAAGAUAUGUUAUUAAUUUUUCCAUAUAAUCUUGUGCAUUACUGAAAUGAAAGAUGAAUAUAAGAUUGCCAGUAUUCUAUAAGGUAUGUUAUUAUAUUUGCCAAUUAUUCUUGUCCAGUACUGUAAUGGAAGAUGAAUAUCAGAUUUCCAGUAUUCUAUAAGAUAUUGUGACAUGUUGCGCAAUGGAGGACACCCCCUCCCUACCCAGCAGUGACGUGGCGGUUGAGUCAGCGCUCCGCCCCUCCCUCCGCACUGUGACGUGGCCCGCAACGCCUCUGUCGACACGGUGUCAGGCAACAGCGGUACUCAUUAUGUAGCAGGGAAACACUGCGACUAUAUAAGGGAACUACACAGCCGCCGAAGGCAGUUAGAAGUGUAUCAGCCGCCGAAGUGUGUUCUCAAGUCAGCAGUGAACGAGUUAAAAGAGUACCAGCCACCGAAGUGAACCGUGCAACGGUUCUUCUCUGCGAAGUUCCUUGG